AUUGAACGCUGGCGGCAGGCCUAACACAUGCAAGUCGAGCGAGCGGCGGACGGGUGAGUAAUGUAUGGGGACUGCCCGAUAGAGGGGGAUAACUACUGGAAGCGGUGGCUAAUACCGCAUACUGUCGGAUAACCCAUAUGGGAUUAGCUAGUAGGUAAGGUAAUGGCUUACCUAGGCGACGAUCCCUAGCUGGUCUGAGAGGAUGAUCAGGCACACUGGGACGGAGAAACGGGCCAGACUUCAAGGGGGGCAGCAGGGGGGAAGAUUGGAAAAUGGGCGCAAGGCUGAAUCAGCCAAGGCGCGGGUAUGAAGAAGGGCCUAGGGGUGUAAAGGAAUUUCAGGCGGGAGGCGUUACCGACAGAAGAAGCACCGGCUAACUCCGUGCCAGCAGCCGCGGUAAUAC
rnacentral:rRNA from 1 species